rnacentral:tRNA from 1 species
GCCUGGGUGGCUCAGUCGGUUAAGCAUCUGACUUUGGCUCAGGUCAUGAUCUCACACUUUGUGGGUUUGAGUCCCACGAAGGGCU